rnacentral:rRNA from 1 species
GACGAACGCUGGCGGCGUGCUUAACACAUGCAAGUCGAGCGGUAAGGCCCUUUCGGGGGUACACGAGCGGCGAACGGGUGAGUAACACGUGGGUGACCUGCCCUCAGCUCUGGGAUAAGCCUGGGAAACUGGGUCUAAUACCGGAUAUGACUCCAUGACGCAUGUUGUGGGGUGGAAAGCCUUGUGCGGCUGAGGAUGGGCCCGCGGCCUAUCAGCUUGUUGGUGGGGUGANGGCCUACCAAGGCGACGACGGGUAGCCGGCCUGAGAGGGCGACCGGCCACACUGGGACUGAGACACGGCCCAGGACUCCUACGGGAGGCAGCAGUGGGGAAUCUUGCGCAAUGGGCGAAAGCCUGAACGCAGCGACGCCGCGUGAGGGAU